rnacentral:lncRNA from 10 species
UGCGAAUUCGGAGUCCCGGUUCCCUGUGCCACCUGGCGAGCUCAGCAAACUAAAAGUCUCUUUGUCUUCAUCGUUUCCGGCACUGAUGUGAGCACAUCAUAAGCACAAGACCUGGACACCUUUACAAUCAGAGACCCCCUGAGUGCCGAUCCCACCUGUGAAAGGGGAGGAGCAGAUCUGGGGAAGGGAUAUGCCCAGAGGAAAUCAACAAGACCAAAGAGACGUCAGAGUCCUGAUGGCCAAAAUCAGACACCAGCUUUCCUGAGAAGGCAGAAGAGAGAGCCCCAUAGAAGCAGUGGGGGCUCAGAAGGUGCCCUUGUUGAGCUGCUUGAGGCAGAAGGCACAGACGAAGUGCUCGGGGUGGAACUUCUUGGCCAUGGCGGUGAUGCAGCGGCCGGUGAUGGGCUUCUGGCAGCCAGAACACAGCGAGCCGCGCCGCUCGUGGUAGUGCACCUCACAGUAGGGCUGCCCGUCGUGCUCGAAGAAGCUGCCGUUCACGAAUGGCGUGAAGCAUUCCUGCCAGGCGGAGAGAGGGGCUCAGGGAGCUGCCCCUCGGGCUAGAGCUGCACCCUGUGUGAUGGGGCCGAGGUGGGCAUAGUCGGCACGCUCGGAGUGACUCCUACUUGCUAGGCGUUUCCCAUGUGCCGUGUUGUCCUAAACGCUCAUUUUUCAUUUUUAUUUUAUUAAAUAAAUUUUUUUUGUAGAGAUGGGGGUCUCACUAUAUUGCCCAUGCUGGUCAAAUGUGGCCUCCUGCAAUCCUCCCACCUCGGCCUCCCACAGGGCUGGGAUUAUUUAGUUCUCCCAACAGGGGAGGCAACUGAAGCACACAGGUGAAGUAACUUGCCCAGGGUCAUGCAGCUACUGAGGUCACAGCCUGGAUUCAUACACAGGUCUGACUCCUGAGCACUUAGCCAGGUGGCUGUAACAGUGUUCCCAGAAACACAGGUGUGACACUGGUCUGUAGUCAAACUCUGCCUCCUAGAUUCUCAUUGGAGAUUCACAUCACAUAUAGGUAGAAAAGGCUCUGAGAGGGGCCGGGUGAGGUGGCUCACACUUGUAAUCCCAGCACUUUGG